rnacentral:lncRNA from 1 species
CAGAACUUUACUCUGUGUCACUAAAUAAACAGCAGUUGGGAAAAUUGAUACCCUUUAGAUUUCCAUUUAAAAAUGUGACCUGCCAUCAUUUUGUAAGAAGCUUCUGCUAUAUCUGUCGUCAACUAAAACACAAGUUUAUUCUUUACGGACAUCUAUCUGUCUAAGUUCUCUCUACGUUGGGAUGCCUUGGAAUCCUUCUUCCAUAAACUCAAAAGUUGCUUCCAUGUUAUCUGAGUCGAUCAUGAUAAGGAAGGACACUGAGUCACUGACCAGGAAUCUCCCACAAAACUAAGUACCCUAACAGGUAAUUUUCAUCUUGAAUUUUACAAAAAUAACUUGAAAAGAAUUAGUCCCAGCCACCAUAUUCAGUAUUGGUUGGUCCUAGAAAUCUGACUGGGGAGCCAGAGAAUGAAGAAAGGACAGACAAAUACAUUGAAAUGAGGAACCUGGGGGAAAAUGCACACUAAUGCUGUAGUGGUACCAACUAACCAAAUAUCUGGAAACUCAGCAAGUUUAUUAUGCACAGUAUUAAAG